GACGAACGCUGGCGGCGUGCCUAAUACAUGCAAGUUGAGCGCUGAAGGUUGGUACUUGUCCCAACUGGAUGAGCAGCGAACGGGUGAGUAACGCGUGGGGAAUCUGCCUUUGAGCGGGGGACAACAUUUGGAAACGAAUGCUAAUACCGCAUAAAAACUUUAAACACAAGUUUUAAGUUUGAAAGAUGCAAUUGCAUCACUCAAAGAUGAUCCCGCGUUGUAUUAGCUAGUUGGUGAGGUAAAGGCUCACCAAGGCGAUGAUACAUAGCCGACCUGAGAGGGGGAUCGGCCACAUUGGGACUGAGACACGGCCCAAACUCCUACGGGAGGCAGCAGGAGGGAAUCUUCGGCAAUGGACGAAAGUCUGACCGAGCAACGCCGCGUGAGUGAAGAAGGGUUUCGGAUCGUAAAACUCUGUUGGUAGAGAAGAACGUUGGUGAGAGUGGAAAGCUCAUCAAGUGACGGUAACUACCCAGAAAGGGACGGCUAACUACGUG
rnacentral:rRNA from 1 species